rnacentral:rRNA from 1 species
UGCGUAGGCGGCGGCAUAAGUCAGAAGUGAAAGUUGGCAGCUUAACUACAAAAUUGCUUUUGAUACUGUGCUGCUUGAAUCACGUUGAGGCUGGCGGAAUGUGGCAUGUAGCGGUGAAAUGCUUAGAUAUGCCAUAGAACACCAAUUGCGAAGGCAGCUGGCUAGACGUGUAUUGACGCUGAGGCACGAAAGCGUGGGGAGCGAACAGGAUUAGAUACCCUGGUAGUCC